rnacentral:sRNA from 1 species
AGAGUAGGAGGCUGUUGUUUAAUGUUGCCUAAUGCCAACGUUAGAGCUCCAGGGAUUGACGUGUUUGCUGACUGCUCAAAGUCUAUUUCAACACGAAUUUCUGGGUCCGAGUGAGUAUUAAAUAACUGCCUUGCUUUUUUGUCAUAGGAUUUUGGCAUUAGAGAAGCUCGGUGCUGUCUUCAAUCAAGUAGCCUUCCCACUGCAGUACACACCCAGGAAAUUUGUCAUCCACCCUGAGAGUAACAACCUUAUUAUCAUUGAAACGGACCACAAUGCCUACACUGAGGCCACGAAAGCUCAGAGAAAGCAGCAGAUGGCAGAGGAAAUGGUGGAAGCAGCAGGGGAGGAUGAGCGGGAGCUGGCCGCAGAGAUGGCAGCAGCAUUCCUCAAUGAAAACCUCCCUGAAUCCAUCUUUGGAGCUCCCAAGGCUGGCAAUGGGCAGUGGGCCUCUGUGAUCCGAGUGAUGAAUCCCAUUCAGGGGAACACACUGGACCUUGUCCAGCUGGAACAGAAUGAGGCAGCUUUUAGUGUGGCUGUGUGCAGGUUUUCCAACACUGGUGAAGACUGGUAUGUGCUGGUGGGUGUGGCCAAGGACCUGAUACUAAACCCCCGAUCUGUGGCAGGGGGCUUCGUCUAUACUUACAAGCUUGUGAACAAUGGGGAAAAACUGGAGUUUUUGCACAAGGUAGGAAUCUGCCAGUGGUUCUCCUAGAUUUUAAGUCCCAUUGAAUUCUCUCACUUUUGCUUAUGUUAUGGAUCAGGUCUUUUGGGGACUAGCUCCUUGAUUCCAAUCUCUCUCUUACCAGCACAUGGAAAACGCUGGGGCCUUCUAGCUGCAGUGAUGUUCUUGUGCCUGUGCAUUCCACAGGAAGGCUUUGUGC